UCGGGACUGACGGGGCUCGAACCCGCAGCUCCGC
rnacentral:tRNA from 1 species